rnacentral:rRNA from 1 species
UACGUAGGGUGCAAGCGUUGUCCGGAAUUAUUGGGCGUAAAGAGCUCGUAGGCGGUUCGUCGCGUCGGCUGUGAAAUCCCGAGGCUCAACCUCGGGUCUGCAGUCGAUACGGGCGGACUGGAGUUCGGCAGGGGAGACUGGAAUUCCUGGUGUAGCGGUGAAAUGCGCAGAUAUCAGGAAGAACACCGGUGGCGAAGGCGGGUCUCUGGGCAGUAACUGACGCUGAGGAGCGAAAGCGUGGGGAGCGAACAGG